AGUGAACGCUGGCGGUAGGCCUAACACAUGCAAGUCGAACGGCAGCACAGGAGAGCUUGUUCUCUGGGUGGCGGGUGGCGGACGGGUGAGGAAUACAUCGGAAUCUCCUCUGUCGUUGGGGAUAACGUAGGGAAACUUACGAUAAUACCGCAUACUACCUACGGGUGAAAGCAGGGGACCGUCGGGCCUUGCGCGACUGGAUGAGCAGAUGUCGGAUUAGCUAGGUGGCGGGGGAAAGGCCCACCAAGGCGACGAUCCGUAGCUGGUCUGAGAGGAUGAUCAGCCACACUGGAACUGAGACACGGUCCAGACUCCUACGGGAGGCAGCAGUGGGGAAUAUUGGACAAUGGGCGCAAGCCUGAUCCAGCCAUACCGCGUGGGUGAAGAAGGCCUUCGGGUUGUAAAGCCCUUUUGUUGGGAAAGAAGUCCAGCUGGCUAAUACCCGGUUGGGAUGACGGUACCCAAGGAAUAAGCACCGGCUAACUUCGUGCCAGCCGCCGCGGUAA
rnacentral:rRNA from 1 species